GUUUCACUUUGAGCAUAUUCAUUACUAUUAUUAAUAUGUAGCAUUCCAAGAUGCCUGUCCCCAAUUCAAAUUCAAAUCCAUCCUCAACAACCUAUUCUUCACGGCUUCACUAUUCUCAAAAAUCAUUGAGCUAUCUGGAAGAACUUCUCAAGUUCAUUUGCAGAGAAGGAGCUGGAGCUUGAAAUUUUGAAUAGAGGUCAAAUUUUAAUGAGGAAAUAUCAGAACUUUUUUCCCCUGUUUGGAAAAAGUUAGACUCCACUGCAAUUGAUCAAAGCUUCCCUAGAAUCACCAAGCAACUUGACGCCACGAAAGGGAGAUUGAGGUCUUCGAGAGGGAGAUAUACCAGUAGCAGCUGCUCUUGAGCGACGGAAGGGAGAGAGUCUACCUGGAAGUAAUUCACCAGAAUAGGUAAAUCUAUUUGAUUCACUAGCCAAUUUCUUUUUACCCUCUUGCUUGUCAGGUGACGGUGCCCUGGAGCUUGAUUUGUUCCUGUGAAUUGCAUCCCAAGCCUGCAGAAAAUAUUCAUGAUUGUUUCACAACCUCACUGGCUGGAGGCAAGGAAACCUGGUUUUUCAUUUUCAUGGCAGCCACAGGAUUCAUUAAGCACAAUGAAUUCCUGAUAUGUAAUUGAG